rnacentral:rRNA from 1 species
UACGUAGGGUGCGAGCGUUAAUCGGAAUUACUGGGCGUAAAGCGUGCGCAGGCGGCGCGUUAAGACAGGUGUGAAAGCCCCGAGCUUAACUUGGGAAUUGCGCUUGUGACUGGCGUGCUGGAGUGUGGCAGAGGGAGGUGGAAUUCCACGUGUAGCGGUGAAAUGCGUAGAGAUGUGGAGGAACACCGAUGGCGAAGGCAGCCUUCUGGGCCAACACUGACGCUCAUGCACGAAAGCGUGGGGAGCAAACAGG